rnacentral:tRNA from 1 species
GCCACCCUAGCUCAACUGGCAGAGCGGCUGAUUUGUAAUCAGCAGGUUGGGGGUUCGAGUCCCCCGGGUGGCU